rnacentral:rRNA from 1 species
UGGGGAAUUUUGGACAAUGGGCGAAAGCCUGAUCCAGCCAUGCCGCGUGAGUGAAGAAGGCCUUCGGGUUGUAAAGCUCUUUUAGUCGGAAAGAAAGAGUUGCAAUGAAUAAUUGUGAUUUAUGACGGUACCGACAGAAAAAGCACCGGCUAACUACGUGCCAGCAGCCGCGGUAAUACGUAGGGUGCGAGCGUUAAUCGGAAUUACUGGGCGUAAAGGGUGCGCAGGCGGUCUUGCAAGUCAGAUGUGAAAGCCCCGGGCUUAACCUGGGAAUUGCGUUUGAAACUACAAGACUAGAGUGCAGCAGAGGGGAGUGGAAUUCCAUGUGUAGCAGUGAAAUGCGUAGAGAUGUGGAAGAACACCGAUGGCGAAGGCAGCUCCCUGGAUUGACACUGACGCUCAUGCACGAAAGCGUGGGGAGCAAACA